rnacentral:rRNA from 1 species
AUUGAACGCUGGCGGCAGGCUUAACACAUGCAAGUCGAGCGGGGGAAGGUAGCUUGCUACCGGACCUAGCGGCGGACGGGUGAGUAAUGCUUAGGAAUCUGCCUAUUAGUGGGGGACAACAUCUCGAAAGGGAUGCUAAUACCGCAUACGUCCUACGGGAGAAAGCAGGGGAUCCUCGGUCCUUGCGCUAAUAGAUGAGCCUAAGUCGGAUUAGCUAGUUGGUGGGGUAAAGGCCUACCAAGGCGACGAUCUGUAGCGGGUCUGAGAGGAUGGCCCGCCACACUGGGACUGAGACACGGCCCAGACUCCUACGGGAGGCAGCAGUGGGGAGUAUUGGACAAUGGGGGGAACCCUGAUCCAGCCAGGCCGCGUGUGUGAGGAAGGCCUUAUGGUUGUAAAGCACUUUAAGCGAGGAGGAGGCUACUUUAGUUAAUACCUAGAGAUAGUGGACGUUACUCGCAGAAUAAGCACCGGCUAACUCUGUGCCAGCAGCCGCCGUAA